UCGGGAAUAUUGCGCAAUGGAGGAAACUCUGACGCAGUGACGCCGCGUAUAGGAAGAAGGUUUUCGGAUUGUAAACUAUUGUCGUUAGGGAAGAUAAAAGACUGUACCUAAGGAGGAAGCCCCGGCUAACUAUGUGCCAGCAGCCGCGGUAAUACAUAGGGGGCAAGCGUUAUCCGGAAUUAUUGGGUGUAAAGGGUGCGUAGACGGAGAAACAAGUUGGUUGUGAAAUCCCUCGGCUCAACUGAGGAACUGCAACCAAAACUAUUUCCCUUGAGUGUCGGAGAGGAAAGUGGAAUUCCUAGU
rnacentral:rRNA from 1 species